UGUUUUUGAAAUGAACUGUUUUUAAAUAAAAAAUUAAUAAAAUUUGAUCUACAUUUAAUAUAUUAUAUCUGUUUGAUCCGCUUUUAUUCUGCUAAAUAUGUUUGAACGGCUUGAAUCUUGAUUUCUGUUCUGCCCGAUUUGCUCUUCCAUUCGAAGUCUUAGUCCGACGCAUCAUAAAAAGAUUUAUCCAAUUAAGUUCAUAAUCCCUAAUCAUUAUCAACUUUUUACUGAAUAAAGAAAGAAUAAACACACAUGCAGGUGCAGCCAAUAACAAAAAAAAAAAGAAAAAUGCACCUAAAACCUGAUCAAUUUGCCG
rnacentral:lncRNA from 1 species